rnacentral:rRNA from 1 species
AACGAACGCUGGCGGCAGGCUUAACACAUGCAAGUCGAACGGGCAUAACAAUAUGUCAGUGGCAGACGGGUGAGUAACACGUGGGAACCUUCCUAGAGGUACGGAACAACGCAGGGAAACUUGUGCUAAUACCGUAUACGCUCGAGAGAGGAAAGAUUUAUCGCCUUUAGACGGGCCCGCGUAGGAUUAGGUAGUUGGUGAGGUAACGGCUCACCAAGCCUACGAUCAUUAGCUGAACUGAGAGGAUGAUCAGCCACUCUGGGACUGAUACACGGCCCAGACUCCUACGGGAGGCAGCAGUGGGGAAUCUUGGACAAUGGGCGCAAGCCUGAUCCAGCCAUGCCGCGUGAGUGAAGAAGGCCUUCGGGUUGUAAAGCUCUUUUACCAGGGACGAUAAUGACGGUACCUGGAGAAUAAGCCCCGGCUAGCUUCGUGCCAGCAGCCGCCGUAA